rnacentral:rRNA from 1 species
GUCUCUUUGUUUUUUUUAUAUAAAGAGUCGGGCCUGCUCGGUGAAUAAAAAAUUUUAACAGCUGCGGUAUUUUAACUGUACUAAGGUAGCAUAAUAAUUUGCCUUAUAAUUUGAGGCUAGAAUGAAUGGUUUGACGAAGGUUAAUCUGUCUCUAUCUUAAUUUUUAGAAAUUAAUUUUUAAAGUGAAAAAGCUUAAAUUUUUUUAAGGGWCGAGAAGACCCUAUUGAUCUUAUAAUUUAACAAAUACUUGUUUAAAAAUCUGAGUGCGAUAUAAAUUUUGAUUGGGGUGAUCAAGGAAUAAAUCAAUAACUUCCUUACAGAAUGUACUGGUAAGUAAAGUAACCGAUAGUAUUGCUUUUAAUAAAGUUACCAUAGGGAUAACAGSGUAAUUUACUUUAAGAGKUCUUAUCGAAAAGUAAGAUUGCGACCUCGAUGUUGGAUUAAAGUAACCUUUAGGUGCAGCAGCUUCAAUUGGUAAAUCUGUUCGAUUUUUAAAACUUUAC